rnacentral:rRNA from 1 species
UACGUAGGGUGCAAGUGUUGUCCGGAAUUAUUGGGCGUAAAGAGCUCGUAGGCGGUUUGUCGCGUCUGCUGUGAAAAACCCGAGGCUCAACCUCGGGCCUGCAGUGGGUACGGGCAGACUAGAGUUCGGUAGGGGGAGACUGGAAUUCCUGGUGUAGCGGUGAAAUGCGCAGAUAUCAGGAGGAACACCGGUGGCGAAGGCGGGUCUCUGGGCCGAUACUGACGCUGAGGAGCGAAAGCGUGGGGGAGCGAACAGG